UGGGGAAUCUUGGACAAUGGGGGCAACCCUGAUCCAGCGACGCCGCGUGGGUGGUAAGGCCUUCGGGUUGUAAAGCCCUUUCACCGGGGAAGAUGAUGGCAUUACCCGGAGAAGAAGCGCCGGCUAACUCCGUGCCAGCAGCCGCGGUAAGACGGAGGGCGCUAGCGUUGUUCGGAAUCACUGGGCGUAAAGGGCGCGUAGGCGGCUGUUUAAGUCGAGGGUGAAAGCCCGGGGCUCAACCCCGGAACGGCCUUCGAGACUGGGCAGCUCGAGACCGGAAGAGGAGGGUGGAAUACCCAGUGUAGAGGUGAAAUUCGUAGAUAUCGGGAGGAACACCAGUGGCGAAGGCGGCCACCUGGACAUCUACUGACGCUGAGACGCGAAAGCGUGGGGAGCAAACAGGAUUAGACACCCCCGUAGUCC
rnacentral:rRNA from 1 species